rnacentral:rRNA from 1 species
AACGAACGCUGGCGGCAGGCCUAACACAUGCAAGUCGAGCGAGACCUUCGGGUCUAGCGGCGGACGGGUGAGUAACGCGUGGGAAUAUGCCCUUCUCUACGGAAUAGCCUCGGGAAACUGGGAGUAAUACCGUAUACGCCCUACGGGGGAAAGAUUUAUCGGAGAAGGAUUAGCCCGCGUUGGAUUAGGUAGUUGGUGGGGUAAUGGCCUACCAAGCCUACGAUCCAUAGCUGGUUUGGGAGGAUGAUCAGCCACACUGGGACUGAGACACGGCCCAGACUCCUACGGGAGGCAGCAGUGGGGAAUCUUAGACAAUGGGGGAAACCCUGAUCUAGCCAUGCCGCGUGAGUGAUGAAGGCCUUAGGGUUGUAAAGCUCUUUCAGCUGGGAAGAUAAUGACGGUACCAGCAGAAGAAGCCCCGGCUAACUCCGUGCCAGCCGCCGCCGUAA